rnacentral:rRNA from 1 species
CCUUCCUGUAGGGUGAACCUGCGGAAGGAUCAUUACAGAGACAUUGCCCUUCGGGGUAGAUCUCCCACCCUUUGUUUACAUUACCUUUGUUGCUUUGGCAGGCCCGUCUUUUGGACCACUGGCUUAGGCUGGUCCGCGCCUGCCAGAGGACCCUAAAUUCUUGACUUUUGUGUUGUCUGAGUAAAUAUUAUAAUAAGUUUAAAACUUUCAACAACGGAUCUCUUGGUUCUGGCAUCGAUGAAGAACGCAGCGAAAUGCGAUAAGUAAUGUGAAUUGCAGAAUUCAGUGAAUCAUCGAAUCUUUGAACGCACAUUGCACCCUCUGGUAUUCCGGGGGGUAUGCCUGUUCGAGCGUCAUUUCAACCCUCAAGCCUAGCUUGGUAUUGGGUGUCACCUGGUGAUGGGUGCACCUUAAAAUCAGUGGCGGUGCCAUCUGGCUCUAAGCGUAGUAAUUCUCUCGCUUUGGAGGUUUAGAUUUGUAGUUGCCAUCAACCCCUAAUUUCUUAAAGGUUGACCUCGGAUCAGGUAGGGAUACCCGCUGAACUUAAGCAUAUCAAUAAAA